AAAAAAAAAAACGAAAAAAAAAGAAGCGAGGAACAAAAAAGUGCAAAAUUCUUUUUUUUUUAUAUAUAUAUAAAUUAAACCCUACACAAAUUAUCUAUCGUACAAUAAACUCUUUUUCUUUUCGCGCUUUCUUUUUUUUUUAUUUUUCUCUCCAUCAAAAAAAUAAUCCACCUAAAAUUCUUUUGCAAAAUCCUCUGCUCAAAACUUCAAACGAAAUAUAAAAAAAAAGAAUAAGAAAGAAAGAAAAAAUUCUGUGUAUUGUUCCACCUGAGAGAAAAAAGAAAGAAACCCAAAAAAAAAAAGAGUGAAUAAAACGUCCAAAAAAAUACGAACAAAAUAUAAUUUCACCUGAACAAAAAAAAAGACAAAUAUAUAAAAAAAAAACUUCUUCAAUAAAUUGACAGUGAAAAUAUUCAAAGGAUUUGUUUCGCUUUUUUUUCUGCAUUCUCGUUGUUGGUUUGCAUUGCAUUUGUGUGUUGUGUAUGUGGCAGUUUUUUUUCUCUUUAUUUUUUUUUUAUGAUUUUUUGCAAAAAAAAGAGAUUGAAUUCUUGUGCAACUUUGGAAAUCUAGUUGUUUUUUUGUUGCCUCAUUAAUUUCGCAAUAUAUUUUCUAUAGUCGAGAGAAACAAGAGCGACGACUUCCGAGAAAAAUAAAAAAAAAAACAACUUCCUGUGUAUUUGUGUUCAGUUUUCUGCCCCUCCUCCUCUUCACCCCCUUCGGGAAGAACCCCCUCCUCUCUGUGACAUUGGUUUUUUUUUUUUAAAUUCCUUCUCGGUGUCAGUCAGAAUUGUUGUUGUUGUCGCGCGAGUAGAUAGUAAAUAAUAAAUAUGUCCUCGUCGUCGACAAAUUCUCCCGCCUCCGCCACAAAAGGAGGUGUAACAGCUGGCGAUGAUCCAGCUACCAUCGAAGAACUACGUUUAGAAAUCGAACGUUUGUCCAGAGAGCUAGAUCAAGCUAGCAGUGAGAAAAUACAAUCCGCCCAAUUCGGUUUGGUGCUGCUCGACGAGAAGAGUUUGCUCCAACACAAAUGCGAGGAAUUAGAAACUUUGUAUGAGAAUACAAAGCAUGAUUUGGAUAUUACACAGGAGGCCCUUGCAAAAUUCCAGACGUCACAAAAAGUCACAACAAAAACCGGCAUCGAACAAGAAGAAACACUUCUAAAUGAAUCUGCCGCCAUCGAAACAUCACUUAAUUUACAAAUUUUAGAUUUGGAAAAUGAAGUCAAACAGCUGCGUCAUGAGCUGGAGCGUGUGCGUAAUGAACGGGAUCGUAUGUUGCAAGAAAAUUCCGACAUUGGUCGUGAUAAGUCUGAUAAUGAAGCUGAAAAAAUUAGACUUAAAGCUGAGCUGAAAGAAUUGAAAUUCCGUGAGACCCGCAUGUUAACUGAAUAUUCAGAAUUGGAAGAAGAAAACAUAUCGCUGCAAAAGCAAGUGUCCAGUUUAAGGAGUUCACAAGUUGAAUUUGAAGGUGCCAAACAUGAAAUCCGAAGGCUCACUGAAGAAUUGGAGCUUCUCAAUAAUCAAGUCGAUGAAUUGGCUAAUCUUAAAAAGAUUGCGGAGAAGCAAAUGGAAGAAGCCUUGGAAGCUUUACAAGGUGAAAGGGAAGCAAAAUAUGCUUUAAAGAAAGAACUCGACGGACAUAUCAACCGAGAGUCUAUGUACCACAUAAGCAACUUGGCCUACAGCAUCCGUUCCAUUGAUGAAAACGCUGGCGGAAACAGCGACGGAGAAGAAGAAAAUUUAGCCCUAAAACGUCUAGAAGCCGAUCUAACAACCGAACUGAAAUCCCCCGAUGGCACAAAAGUCGAUCUUUUCUCAGAAAUCCAUCUAAACGAGCUGAAAAAACUGGAAAAACAAUUGGAGUCAAUGGAAAACGAAAAGGCCCACAUGACAUCGAACCUGCGCGAAGCUCAAACAAAUCUGGAUAAGAGUCAAAAUGAAUUGCAAAACUUUAUGUCCCGACUGGCAUUGCUGGCAGCGCAUGUCGACGCCCUAACCCAUUUGAAAAAACAAAUCGACACUAAGGACGAAGCAAAACUAACGACUUUGGUCAAAAACAGUAAAGACAAGAACGAUGAAUUGAAUUUGAAUCAAAAGUUGCGUGAUGUCCUGACGCAAUAUGCUAAUUGGUUCACCCUCAGUUCCAAGGAGAUCGAUGGCUUAAAGACUGAUAUUAGUGAGUUGCAAAAGGGUUUGAAUUACUCUGAUGCUAUGGUAACACUGCGCAAUGAGAUAACAAAUUUGAAGAACAAGCUGUUAUCGACGGAACAAAAGUCACUGGAUCUGCAAAGUGAUGUGCAAACUUUGACACACAUCUCACAGAAUGCUGGACAAAGUUUGGGUUCAGCUAGGUCGACAUUGGUGGCGUUAAGUGACGAUUUGGCACAAUUGUAUCAUCUAGUCUGUACUGUGAAUGGUGAAACGCCAACACGUGUGCUAUUGGAUCAUAAGAAUGAUGACAUGAGUUUUGAGAAUGAUUCACUCACCGCCAUUCAGUCACAAUUCAAAUCGGACGUGUUCCUAUCAAGAUCCCAGAUAGUUGAAGACCUCCAAGGCUUGGCUGAUUCAGUGGAAAUCAAAAAAUACGUUGAUACAGUCAACGAUCAAAUAAAAUACCUUAAGACCGCUGUGGAACACACAAUCGAUCUUAAUAAAAACAAAGUUAGAGGCGAUGUCAGUGAGGACAAAUUCAAUCGCGAAGAAAUCGAAGAGCUGCAAGAGCAAAUUAUUAAGCUCAAGAGCCUGUUGUCAACGAAGCGCGAACAAAUCGCAACCCUGCGCACAGUACUCAAGUCCAAUAAGCAAACUGCCGAAGUUGCACUCACCAAUCUUAAGUCAAAGUAUGAGAAUGAGAAGUUAGUUGUGAGUGAUACAAUGUCUAAAUUGAGGAAUGAACUGAAGAUUCUUAAAGAAGAUGCAGCUACAUUCUCAAGUCUUCGAGCAAUGUUUGCAGCUCGUUGUGAAGAAUAUGUUACACAAGUCGAUGAUUUGAAUCGUCAAUUGGAAGCUGCUGAAGAGGAAAAGAAGACCCUCAAUCAGUUAUUAAGACUCGCUGUGCAACAAAAAUUAACGCUGACACAACGUUUGGAGGAGAUGGAAAUGGAUCGGUGGGUUAAUUAUCGUCGUUAGCAAACGAACUUUAAUAGAUCAGAGUAGUAAAAGUUUUUGAUUUUGUGAGAGAAAGUGAUUUAGAAGAGCAACACACACAAAAAUAAGCCCGAGAAUGAGAUUUAUUUUUGAAAUUUAAUUUUCGUUUUUGGAUUUAAUUUAAUAAUCAUGAGUCGAUAUUCCCUUACAAAAAAAAUUAAACAAAUUUAUUGUGAAAUGCGACAUGUUCGCCGACCAAUGCUGACACCUCGCGGUGCUAGUGGAAAAUCAUCAUUUUCCCGACCAUCACCACGAAAUCCUUCAGCAAAUAAUCAGAAUCCCUUCUAACAUAAAAUCAGCGUGCAGCGUAAACUUUUAGCCUUAGUUUAUACUUUACUUAAGUUAUAAAAUGUUUGUUAAUUUUAUUUAUACUUCCUUACAAGCAAACAACAAACAAAAAAAAAAACUUAUACAUACAAUACAUACAUCGUUAUUUACUAAAAUAUUUCUACAAAAAUGAAGUCAAGCUAGUUUGGAGAGAUUGCGAAUUCGUUCCUAAUUAUGCCACAACGUCCAAUUUAUUUUUCCAUUCAAACAAAACAAACACAAUGAAUGAAAUAAAAAACAAAAAUGUGGCACUAUUAUUUAUGUAAAAUGGAACGCAAUCAAGUACCUUUACUUUGUUAUUCUCUCCACUUUAGUGCACUAAAAAUGGUUAAAGUUUUUAUUAUUAAUAUUAUUAUGAUCAGUAUAAACGGUACGUUACUUAGUAUUUCAAUUUAAGAUUAGGAAAAAAGAAAAAAAUGUUUAUGUUUUAUUAAUUUGUUUAUUAUUAAUUUUUUAUAUGAAAAGAAGAAAAAAAAGAUUUAAUUUUGUUCUAUUGGUGUUUUUUUUUUUAAGAAAAAAAAUAAGCUGUACGCAAAAAACAGAAAUUCAGUAAACAUAUAUUCAACUAUUUUUAUUAUCAUCAUGUAAUUAUGUAAUUUUUUUGGUUUUUAUAAAAUUUUGAAGAAAAAAAAAAAAAAAUGAAGAA